AUACUCACCUGGCAGGGGAGAUACCACGAAUCAUGAAGGUGGUUUUCCUAGGGCGAGGCUUAUCCAUUGCACUCCAGAUUUGCUCACCUCUGCGAUUUCCCCAAAUAUGGGAAACUCAACUGCAUAAUUUGUAGUAGUGAGGGACUGCAUUCGUGCUUUCCCCUU
rnacentral:snRNA from 1 species